UGUUUUGCAUUUAUUGAGUUCUCUGAUGAAGAGGGCGCCAGAACUGCGCUUAACCUGGGAGGCACAAUUUUUGGUUUCUACCCUGUUAGAGUUUUGCCGUCAAAGACAGCUAUGUUACCUGUUAAUCCAAAGUUUCUUCCCAGGACGGAUGACGAGAAGGAAAUGGUCAUGCGAACUGUCUAUCGUACAAACAUAGAUAAGAUGGU